GAUGAACGCUAGCGACAGGCCUAACACAUGCAAGUCGAGGGGCAGCACUUCGGGUGGCGACCGGCGCACGGGUGAGUAACGCGUAUGUAACCUGCCUGCAACAGGGGGAUAGCUCGCUGAAAAGCGAAUUAAGACCGCAUAAGACCACGCUUUCGCAUGUUAGCGUGGUAAAAUAUUUAUAGGUUGCAGAUGGGCAUGCGUGACAUUAGCUAGUUGGUAGGGUAACGGCCUACCAAGGCAACGAUGUCUAGGGGUUCUGAGAGGAAGGUCCCCCACACUGGUACUGAGACACGGACCAGACUCCUACGGGAGGCAGCAGUGAGGAAUAUUGGUCAAUGGGCGAGAGCCUGAACCAGCCAUGUCGCGUGCAGGAUGACGGCCCUACGGGUUGUAAACUGCUUUUGUACGGGAAGAAAAAACGCCACGUGUGGUGUCUUGCCGGUACCGUACGAAUAAGGAUCGGCUAACUCCGUG
rnacentral:rRNA from 1 species